rnacentral:rRNA from 1 species
UGUUACAAUGGCAGGUACAGAGGGAUGCUACCGGGCGACCGGAUGCGGAUCUCGAAAGCCUGUCCCAGUUCGGACUGGAGUCUGCAACCCGACUCCACGAAGUUGGAUUCGCUAGUAAUCGCGCAUCAGCCGUGGCGCGGUGAAUACGUUCCCGGGCCUUGUACACACCGCCCGUCAAGCCAUGGGAGCCGGGGGCGCCUGAAGUCCGGGACCGCGAGGACCGGCCUAGGGCGAAACUGGUAACUGGGGCUAAGUCGUAACAAGGUACC